CGCUUACUCGGGGAUAGCCUUUCGAAAGAAAGAUUAAUACCCGAUAGUAUAAUGAAACCGCAUGGUCUUAUUAUUAAAGAAUUUCGGUUAUCGAUGGGGAUGCGUUCCAUUAGGCAGUUGGUGAGGUAACGGCUCACCAAACCUUCGAUGGAUAGGGGUUCUGAGAGGAAGGUCCCCCACAUUGGAACUGAGACACGGUCCAA
rnacentral:rRNA from 1 species